rnacentral:RNase_P_RNA from 1 species
AAGGCAGGUGAAGUCAUCGCUGCCGGCAGCUUGCCGGUAGAGGAACUUCCCGACUCUCACCCGCGACGUCUGCAACGCAGCGUCGUCGGGGCGUUGCCCCACGAAACCGUAAGUGGGGGCGCAUGUCCGGUAACGGCCAUGUGACUACAACCGCAACAGAGAGCAGACCCGCCGCGCGGGAGACCGCACGGUAAGGGGUGAAACGGUGGGGUAAGAGCCCACCAGCGGUUUCGGCAACGAAACCGGCUGGGCGAGCGUGCAACGGAGAGCAAGGCGAGUGGGUUUUGCACUGUCUGCGAAGAUGGUGUAAGAUCUCGUCGCAGCGGUGCGGAUGAAGCCGGAUAACACCCGGCAAGUCACAAUCCGCCGGGCAAAUUGCCCGAGACAGAUGAUGACGGUCAGAGUUCGCCCCCAGGGGCACUCUGAUGACAGAAUCGGGGGUACACCCGCCUUCCUG